GAUACAGCAUCUGCAAGAAUUGGGACAGAAGUGACUCAGGAGAUUUCACUUGGAUGUCAUAAUGUAUAUCUGAUUUUAAUUUUUUAGGAUAGGAAUGUUUCUUUCUAAUGCAAUGCAUGCCUUUAUUGCCUUGUGGUUCUCUUAGCCAUCCACCUGGUUUCUUUCAUUCCUCAUCCUUUGCAGGAGGUGCGUUGCUUGUCAUUUCUCUACUCCUGUAGAGAAAGACUGUAAGGUAGGCACCCUCCUAUGUUUAUGAUCCUCAGUUUUCAAAUGCAACUCCCUUAUAUAUGUGAAAGUACCUUCUCAGAAAAUAAGAAAUAUAAAACUGUUGAAGAUUUGUAUUGUACUCAUUGGAUUCGUGGGUUUAAAUAUAUACUUGACAAGAGAAUGAGUGAGCAGCCCCAUAUUUAAAAUUUCAUCCAGUUUCUUUUCUACUCCAUCUGAUUUCUGAAACUUAGGAGCAUCUUUCCUGCUCAGUUCCUGUAAGAACAUAACCACUCUGUCCUGUUUGCUAGUUGUCUUUAUUAACAAACUCUUCUCCAAUGGUCAUCAUAGUAGUCCUCCUUAUCUUCAUAAACAAGUUUCUUUCCAGGCUAAGAGAUUUUCUUAUCUAUAUAAACAUUGUUUCCCUCCCUCACUAUAAUUUUCAUUACCUAACAAAUGUAUCACUGAAUCUCCUGACUUACUACAAUGCACUUUUGCCUACUCUUCCCAGAGUAAAAUGACAAACAAAGCCCCACAUAAUUAAUGCACUGCAGAUAUAAGCCAUGUUUUGAAGAGCAACCUUUUCUAAGUUGAUUUAUCUUAAGAUGAAAUGAGAGGAGGAGAAGUAGAGAUGUCUGUGACUUCUAUUCUUCUUCAUGGAGACAACUGUAUUUUUCAUUCAGUUAGUGGUAUCCUUUCAGCACAGAACCGGUGUCAAACACAAUGUAAUGUUUCAAGUGACAAAGUCAGUGUGACACAGACCUCAUGGAACAAAUGAAAAAAUGAAGAUUAUGAUUUUUUGUGUUUUAGAGGGAUGGAGAUAAGUAAAUGGUGGGAGGAGAGAAGGAGGCUGUGUAUAAUUCUAGUUUGGCAUCUCAAAUCUAGACCAAUUUCUCAACUGUGUUUGCACUCCGUGACUUAUGAUGUGAAUUGUGGAUGGCUUGAUUUCAUUCCUCCUCAGAGCCAUAUGGAAACUUUGCUCCAGUUUGCCCUAAACUCUGGUGAUGUUCUGUGAAGAGGAGGAUGAAGAAUGGAGAAAAUUGUUUUGACUGGUCAGCAACCUUAUUCCUUCGAUCAUUUGUAUGCAAAAGUUUGUGUCCUUAAGCCAAACGUGUUAUAAGUUUUGGUGUUGCCGAAUCCUGGAUCCUUCAGAUUUCAGGAAAGUUGAUGGAGGUUGAGGAAAAUUGAAGAAAGAAAUACUGUCUGGGAACCAGUUUCAUUUAAUUUUCUCUUUUCAUUCUUGUAACUGCCCAAGUGGAAGCAUUUGCUGCUCUGGGAAGGAAAGGAUUUCCCCAUGGAAGACAGCUUUUUGGCAAGUCAAUAAGUUUCUAACCUGCCAAAUAGUUGUGGUGGCGUUGUCCCAGGAAAGCAUUCAGUACUUCUGUUUUGGAGAACUGAAAACAGAACUCAAAUACAGUACAAAGUUAAGACAAGAACCUUUUGCAGCUUCAACAACAUCUCUUCAGCUAAGUACCUACUUAAUUGAAAAACAGGAUUUGUUACUACCUGGUAUCUUUUAUCCCUGCAGAAGAGUAAGCUGGAUGUACCACAGGGCAGCAUGCAGAGUGUGUGGGGGAAGAAAAACCACUCUACCCAAACCUUUCUCUAUGCAGGCUGAGAAAGUGAGCUACAGAUGGAUUCCAGAGGCAUCGUUUCUCAUGGAUCAUUCUUCACUGCUAUUCCUUUAGUCUUAGGAGCACUUUAGCAGCAGGUUUGACAAACAGCUCAUCUCCUGCAUUAUGUUGGGCCAAAACCUGUGAAGGUUUAAAGCUUGAACUUGUGAACUCAGUGACUGGUGCUAUGGUCUGCAGUAUUGCUUUAGUGAGGAUCCUUCCUUCACAUCAUCCAUCGCAGACAGGCACUGAGGUGAGAAAGAGAAUAACAAAUUAUAGAGUCGUGCAACGCACCAAGACCUGUAGAAGAGAAGAUUUGCUAAACUGGAACAGCUUAACUAAGUGAUGUUUGGACCUGAUACAGCGUGGUAAUCAUUGAGUUUCAAGGGAGCCUACUGCUUUUGCCAGCCCUGCAGAUUCACCCCAUCCGCACUGCUAAAUGAAAAAGUUUUUGCGUUUCUGGUGUCUGUGUGGAGGACUCAGCAAGCAAACAGCGUGUCCUGGCAGGCAACAUCUGUGCUCUGCACCUGCUGGAAGAUAGUCAGUGCCAAGUGGUGGAAAGACAAUGACAUCUGAAUUUCUGCAAUGCGUGAUACAUGCAUAUCCUAAACAUAUGGAAAUAUCUGUGACUGCAGAUGACUACCUCCAGCUCCUUUUGAAAAGGAACGAAAUUAGUGGAACUUUCUAUGCCCUUUAAGGAGAGAUGUCAGAAAAAAAAGAUAAGUUUUGUGGGGGUUUUUCUGUUGUUUGGUUGGUUUGGGUUUCCUUGUUGGUUUGUUUUUAAAUGCAGAGUUAAUAGUUUUGUAGUCUUCAAAGUCUGUGUUGUCUAAAACACUGGUCAAAGUGGAUCAGUGAGACUCCACAGGAAGACUUGCUUGUUUUGUGCAAAGCUAAAUUUUAUCCCUUUCAUCUACGAAGAGAACUGUCCUUGCUGACACGUGAAGGGCCUUGUACAUCAUCUUCUGUGCCAAAGCUGCAAGAGGACUGUGGCUAUCACACUUAAUCUGUCUAUCAUAAUGUUUUGUAUUUCCUGACUUUGUUCAUCUCUGUUUACUUCUCAUCUGCAGCCUGGUUUCAAAUUUUUGUGACACUGAGUAAAUCCAGAAGAAGGUUUUUUUCCUGUACUGUUAAUAGUCUGUGCAGACUAUUCAAAUCCUUUUAGCACACUUUGUGAAGCUUUUUAAUAAAUAAUUUUUUUCAUUAAAAAAUUUAUAUCUUUCCUCCAGG
ensembl:lncRNA